CCACCCCUUUAUGGUCGGUCGGUCCCCGUGGCCUCCGACCCAACACAACAAUCGGCGCGGUUGGCGCCAAGGAACUCACAACGGAACGGGUGUGGCACCGCCRUGACUUGUGCGCGGCGUGUGCUGUCCCAAAAUCCGAAUCUCAUUAACGACUCUCGGCAACGGAUAUCUCGGCUCUCGCAUCGAUGAAGAACGUAGCGAAAUGCGAUACUUGGUGUGAAUUGCAGAAUCCCGUGAACCAUCGAGUCUUUGAACGCAAGUUGCGCCCUAGGCCAUCGGGCCGAGGGCACGUCUGCCUGGGCGUCACGCAUCGCGUCGCCCUCCCUCGACCCYCUUGUGGCGGCCGAGUGCGGAGCGRAGAUUGGCCCCCCAUUCCCCCUGGGGUGUGGUCGGCCUAAAAGGAAUGGCCCCCGUGUGACGAGCACCACGACGAGAGGUGGUUGUACCCAAUCAGCUAGACGUCAYGUGCUUCGUCUCCGUGGGCUGUCUAUGGAACCCUCUUAUUACGACUGCGACCCCA
rnacentral:misc_RNA from 1 species